GCGGGGAUAGCUCAGUUG
rnacentral:siRNA from 1 species